GUAGCUGCUGCUCUGAUUGGACCUCUAGCCUGGGAACCUCCAUAUGCCGUGGGUGCGGCCCUAAACAACAAACAAACAAAAAAACCACACCCCCCCCACACUCAUAGGGGGUAUGCUAGUUUCCUAAGGCUGGCAGAAACAAAUGACCCCUAACUUGGGGCCUGGAAACAACAGAAAUGUAUCACCUCAGCUCUAGAGGCUGGAAGCCCAAGAUCCGGGUGUGGGCUGGCUUCGUUCCUUCCCGGGGCUCUGAUGAGACUCUGUUCCAGGCCCUUGUCCCAGGUCCCGGUGACUGACAGCAGUCCUUGGCAUCCUUCACGCAUUGCCACGUCGCUGCAAUCGCUGCUCCGUCCGCACGUGGCCUUCUUCCCUGCGUGUCUGUGUGCCAACUUUCCCGCUCGGCCUAAGGCUACCAGUCAUUGGAUUCAGGGCCCGCCCCACUCCAGUCUGACCUCAUUUAACCUGAUUACACCUGCAAAGACCCUGUAUCCUUCGUAGGUUCCAGGGAGACAGGCAUUUGUGGGGGGGAGCCCCCGGCGCCUGUGGGUGGAGAGCCUGGGGACCUUCCGUGGAUCUCAUGUCGCUGUUGACUGGUCCUUCCUGGUGACGAAGGGUCUGCUGUGCUGGGAAACUCCUCAGACGCCAUUGACUCUGAAAACGGGUUUUGAAAAACUUCGACAGCUUGUCAUUGUCACAUGAUCGGAGAAAAGGCGAAAGAACCCAGAGGCCGGCUCUCCUGAGUCUGAACAAAGAGUUGGCCUUCCCUCCAGCCUUCCGGGGGCAGGCUUGUUUGGCCUCAAUAUUUGGGUUUCCCCUGGGAGGCCAGGCCCCUGCUCUGCUUUUUCCCUCAGUGUAAAGGGGUGAAUUCAUGCGAGUCCCUCGUGCCAAGAGAGAGCCCAUUUCAUCCAAGAGAAAGGGGAGGGCAGUGUCCCCCACCCUGAGAGCCAGGGGAGGGCUCAUCUCCCCUGAAGGCCUCCCAGGGGAGGGAGAAUUCUGAGGACCCCCCAACCCUGGAAUUGCCCCCCGCCUCGAAUAUUAACCCAGAUGCUGUUGUGAAGAGAUUUUGCAAAUGGACGGUCCCAGGUCAGGUGACUUUAAGGCUCGGAGAUGGUCUGUGUGGGCCGGACCCAUUCAGGUGAAUCUUGUCAAAUCAGAGUGAUUUCUCUGGUGGGAGGAGGCGUCAGAGAUUUUCGAAAGGUCAGAAACACAGGCCACGCCAUCCCCUUUCUGCUCCGAAGUCAGAAGGAGCCACCAGGGAAGUGUGAGUGGCCUCCAGGGCCGAGUGUGGCUCCAGCCACCAGCCAGCAGGGGCCUCAGACCCACAGCCUCCAGGAUGCAGGUUCUCGGGCGGAGGACAGCCCCGUGGGGGGACACCUGGGUUUUCCCCUGAGACCCGAACAGAGCACCUAGUCGAGCCUGUUCAGAUUUCUGGCCCACGGAACUCCAGGUGAUAAGUGGGGUUAAUUUAAGCCACUAGAUUGGUGGUGAGUCGUCAUGCAGCUGGAGAAAGGACCCGGCCUCUGGUCUCGGAAGGUCGGAGGAGAAGCAGAGAUUUGGCAAAUCGGGCGACUCCACUGUUUCUGGCUGGUCCACCCCCGUCCUGUGUGCGUUGAGUCCUGCCACAGCGCCUGUGCCCUGCCCGAGACCGCAACACCCCGCAGUGAGCCAGCCGGCUGUGCAGAGCAAUCAGACACGUGACCGUCUUGUGGUCAACCCGUGACUGGAGACCUGGGAACCAGGCAGGGGCAGAACCGUGCGGAACCAUCAGAGCCAUUCCUGGCAAGACCGUGCUGGCGCGUCCCAGCCAAAGGUCCAGUAAAUUCAUUCCUGGAUGUACCCCCGAGAGAGAUGAGGAUCCCAGAAGCACCUCUGAGCGAUGCUAUCAGCUUUCUUCACAAUAACCGCCAGUAGGAAGCAACACAGCUUCGUAUGACCAGGAGCGCAGAACAGGGGGCGUAAGUUCCUGCGAUUAGAUAAUAAUAGCAGGGAAAAGAGCAACACGCCGUUGGACGUCACAAAACAGGUGAAUCUGAGACACGACAUGGAUGGAAAAGGCCGUGCACAGACGCGACUCCAUUCGCACGAAGUUCAAGGGCCAGGCAAACUAAUUUCUGGCGAUGCGGGUCAGAAUAGCUGUUCCCUAC